AUUGAACGCUGGCGGCAGGCUUAACACAUGCAAGUCGAACGAUGAUUAUCUAGCUUGCUAGAUAUGAUUAGUGGCGGACGGGUGAGUAACAUUUAGGAAUCUGCCUAGUAGUGGGGGAUAGCUCGGGGAAACUCGAAUUAAUACCGCAUACGACCUACGGGUGAAAGGGGGCGCAAGCUCUUGCUAUUAGAUGAGCCUAAAUCAGAUUAGCUAGUUGGUGGGGUAAAGGCCCACCAAGGCGACGAUCUGUAACUGGUCUGAGAGGAUGAUCAGUCACACCGGAACUGAGACACGGUCCGGACUCCUACGGGAGGCAGCAGUGGGGAAUAUUGGACAAUGGGGGCAACCCUGAUCCAGCCAUGCCGCGUGUGUGAAGAAGGCCUUUUGGUUGUAAAGCACUUUAAGCAGGGAGGAGAGGCUAAUGGUUAAUACCCAUUAGAUCAGACGUUACCUGCAGAAUAAGCACCGGCUAACUCUGUGCCAGCAGCCGCGGUAAUACAGAGGGUGCGAGCGUUAAUCGGAAUUACUGGGCGUAAAGCGAGUGUAGGUGGCUCAUUAGGUCACAUGUGAAAUCCCCGGGCUUAACCUGGGAACUGCAUGUGAUACUGGUGGUGCUAGAAUAUGUGAGAGGGAAGUAGAAUUCCAGGUGUAGCGGUGAAAUGCGUAGAGAUCUGGAGGAAUACCGAUGGCGAAGGCAGCUUCCUGGCAUAAUAUUGACACUGAGAUUCGAAAGCGUGGGUAGCAAACAGGAUUAGAUACCCUGGUAGUCCACGCCGUAAACGAUGUCUACUAGCCGUUGGGGUCCUUGAGACUUUAGUGGCGCAGUUAACGCGAUAAGUAGACCGUCUGGGGAGUACGGCCGCAAGGUUAAAACUCAAAUGAAUUGACGGGGGCCCGCACAAGCGGUGGAGCAUGUGGUUUAAUUCGAUGCAACGCGAAGAACCUUACCUGGUCUUGACAUAGUGAGAAUCCUGCAGAGAUGCGGGAGUGCCUUCGGGAAUUCACAUACAGGUGCUGCAUGGCUGUCGUCAGCUCGUGUCGUGAGAUGUUGGGUUAAGUCCCGCAACGAGCGCAACCCUUUUCCUUAUUUGCCAGCGGGUUAAGCCGGGAACUUUAAGGAUACUGCCAGUGACAAACUGGAGGAAGGCGGGGACGACGUCAAGUCAUCAUGGCCCUUACGACCAGGGCCACACACGUGCUACAAUGGUAGGUACAGAGGGUUGCUACACAGCGAUGUGAUGCUAAUCUCAAAAAGCCUAUCGUAGUCCGGAUUGGAGUCUGCAACUCGACUCCAUGAAGUCGGAAUCGCUAGUAAUCGCAGAUCAGAAUGCUGCGGUGAAUACGUUCCCGGGCCU
rnacentral:rRNA from 1 species